rnacentral:rRNA from 1 species
UACGUAGGGGGCAAGCGUUGUCCGGAAUCAUUGGGCGUAAAGUGUGCGCAGGCGGCCGAGCAAGUCGAGUGUGAAAGCCCCGAGCUUAACUUGGGAAUUGCGCUCGAAACUACUUUGCUGGAGUGUGGCAGAGGAAGGUGGAAUUCCAGGUGUAGCGGUGAAAUGCGUAGAGAUCUGGAGGAACACCGAUGGCGAAGGCAGCCUUCUGGGCCAACACUGACGCUCAUGCACGAAAGCGUGGGGAGCAAACAGG